GACGAACGCUGGCGGCGUGCUUAACACAUGCGAGUCGAACGGAAAGGCCCUGCUUUUGUGGGGUGCUCGAGUGGCGAACGGGUGAGUAACACGUGAGUAACCUGCCCUUGACUUUGGGAUAACUUCAGGAAACUGGGGCUAAUACCGGAUAGGAGCUCCUGCUGCAUGGUGGGGGUUGGAAAGUUUCGGCGGUUGGGGAUGGACUCGCGGCUUAUCAGCUUGUUGGUGGGGUAGUGGCUUACCAAGGCUUUGACGGGUAGCCGGCCUGAGAGGGUGACCGGCCACAUUGGGACUGAGGUACGGCCCAGACUCCUUCGGGAGGCAGCAGUGGGGAAUAUUGCACAAUGGGCGGAAGCCUGAUUCAGCAACGCCGCGUGCGGGAUUGCGGCCUUCGGGUUGUAAACCGCUUUCGCCUGUUACGAAGCGUGAGUUACGGUAAUGGGUUAAGAAGCACCGGCUAACUACGUG
rnacentral:rRNA from 1 species